rnacentral:sRNA from 1 species
GCAUAGCCCUGAUGGAAGCGUCAUCUCCCGAUUUAGAAAAACAAGGCUUUUUUGCCGUAGUUUUUGUUAAUCGGGAAUACAGUGGACAGCAGGUGAAAUG